UACGGAGGGGGCUAGCGUUGUUCGGAAUUACUGGGCGUAAAGCGCACGUAGGCGGCUUGGUAAGUUAGAGGUGAAAGCCUGGAGCUCAACUCCAGAAUUGCCUUUAAGACUGCCGAGCUAGCAGGUGAGAGAGGUGAGUGGAAUUCCGAGUGUAGAGGUGAAAUUCGUAGAUAUUCGGAAGAACACCAGUGGCGAAGGCGGCUCACUGGCUCAUACUGGACGCUGAGGCACGAAAGCUAGGGGAGCAAACAGG
rnacentral:rRNA from 1 species